rnacentral:rRNA from 1 species
CAGCGACUUAUAUUCUGUAGCAAGGUUAACCGUAUAGGGGAGCCGCAGGGAAACCGAGUCUUAACUGGGCGUUAAGUUGCAGGGUAUAGACCCGAAACCCGGUGAUCUAGCCAUGGGCAGGUUGAAGGUUGGGUAACACUAACUGGAGGACCGAACCGACUAAUGUUGAAAAAUUAGCGGAUGACUUGUGGCUGGGGGUGAAAGGCCAAUCAAACCGGGAGAUAGCUGGUUCUCCCCGAAAGCUAUUUAGGUAGCGCCUCGUGAAUUCAUCUUCGGGGGUAGAGCACUGUUUCGGCUAGGGGGUCAUCCCGACUUACCAACCGAUGCAACUACGAAUACCGAAGAAUGUUAUCACGGGAGACACACGGCGGGUGCUAACGUCCGUCGUGAAGAGGGAAACAACCCAGACCGCCAGCUAAGGUCC